rnacentral:rRNA from 1 species
UACGUAGGGUGCAAGCGUUAAUCGGAAUUACUGGGCGUAAAGCGUGCGCAGGCGGUUUUGUAAGUCAGAUGUGAAAUCCCCGGGCUUAACCUGGGAAGUGCGUUUGAAACUACAAGGCUAGAGUGUGGCAGAGGGGGGUGGAAUUCCGACGUGUAGCAGUGAAAUGCGUAGAGAUGCGGAGGAACACCGAUGGCGAAGGCAGCCCCCUGGGCCAAUACUGACGCUCGAUGCACGAAAGCGUGGGGAGCAAACAGG